rnacentral:rRNA from 1 species
GACGAACGCUGGCGGCGUGCUUAACACAUGCCAGUCGAACGAAGAGCGAUGGAAGCUUGCUUCUAUCAAUCUUAGUGGCGAACGGGUGAGUAACGCGUAAUCAACCUGCCCUUCAGAGGGGGACAACAGUUGGAAACGACUGCUAAUACCGCAUACGAUCUAAUCUCGGCAUCGAGGAUAGAUGAAAGGUGGCCUCUACAUGUAAGCUAUCACUGAAGGAGGGGAUUGCGUCUGAUUAGCUAGUUGGAGGGGUAACGGCCCACCAAGGCGAUGAUCAGUAGCCGGUCUGAGAGGAUGAACGGCCACAUUGGGACUGAGACACGGCCCAGACUCCUACGGGAGGCAGCAGUGGGGAAUCUUCCGCAAUGGACGAAAGUCUGACGGAGCAACGCCGCGUGAGUGAUGACGGCCUUCGGGUUGUAAAGCUCUGUUAAUCGGGACGAAAGGCCUUCUUGCGAAUAGUGAGAGGGAUUGACGGUACCGGAAUAGAAAGCCACGGCUAACUACGUG